GGGGCUGAUUCUGGAUUCGACGGGAUUUGCGAAACCCAAGGUGCAUGCCGAGGGGCGGUUGGCCUCGUAAAAAGCCGCAAAAAAAUAGUCGCAAACGACGAAAACUACGCUUUAGCAGCUUAAUAACCUGCUUAGAGCCCUUUCUCCCUAGCCUCCGCUCUUAGGACGGGGAUCAAGAGAGGUCAAACCCAAAAGAGAUCGCGCGGAUGCCCUGCCUGGGGUUGAAGCGUUAAAACGAAUCAGGCUAGUCUGGUAGUGGCGUGUCCGUCCGCAGGUGCCAGGCGAAUGUAAAGACAGACUAAGCAUGUAGUACCGAGGAUGUAGGAAUUUCGGACGCGGGUUCAACUCCCGCCAGCUCCACCA
rnacentral:tmRNA from 1 species